rnacentral:rRNA from 1 species
AUUGAACGCUGGCGGCAGGCUUAACCCAUGCAAGUCGAGCGAGCGGCGGACGGGUGAGUAAUGACUGGGAAUCGGACUGCUGGAGGGGGAUAACUACUGGAAACGGGAGCUAAUACCGCAUACCAUCAGAUGUGCCCAGAUGGGAUUAGCUAGUAGGUGGGGUAAUGGCUCACCUAGGCGACGAUCCCUAGCUGGUCUGAGAGGAUGACCAGCCACACUGGAACGGAGACACGGUCCAGACUCCUACGGGAGGCAGGAGUGGGGAAUAUUGCACAAUGGGCGCAAGCCUGAUGCAGCCAUGCAGCGUGUGUGAAGAAGGCCUUCGGAUUGUAAAGCACUUUCAGCGAGGAGGCGUUACUCACAGAAGAAGCACCGGCUAACUCCGUGCCAGCCGCCGCGGUAAUAC